rnacentral:rRNA from 1 species
ACGAACGCUGGCGGCGUGCUUAGCACAUGCAAGUCGAACGGGGCGAAGUGAUAGCUUGCUAUUAUGGAGCCUAGUGGCAAACGGGCGAGUAACGCGUAGGCAACCUGCCCUUCAGAUGGGGGACAACACCUCGAAAGGGGUGCUAAUACCGAAUGACGUUUCCUGGUCGCAUGACCUGGAACCAAAGGCCGGGCAACCGGUCGCUAAGGGAUGGCCCCGCGGUGCAUUAGCUAGUUGGUAAGGUAACGGCUUACCAAGGCGACGAUGCAUAGCCGAGUUGAGAGACUGAUCGGCCACAUUGGGACUGAGACACGGCCCAAACUCCUACGGGAGGCAGCAGUAGGGAAUCUUCCACAAUGGGCGCAAGUCUGAUGGAGCAACGCCGCGUGAGUGAAGAAGGUUUUCGGAUCGUAAAGCUCUGUUGUUGGUGAAGAAGGAUAGAGGUAGUAACUGGCCUUUAUUUGACGGUAAUCAACCAGAAAGUCACGGCUAACUACGUG